AUGCCAAGAUCUGGGUGUAUGAAGGCUAUGUUCAACUUGGAGCUUUGCUUUCUCUCCAUUUUGUUUGCUUUCCUUCAAUGACCGACGAGAUAUAGCGUUUAGAUACGAAGGGGAGGGGCAGAAAGAGGAAAGGAGUCGUCGUCAGACAGACAAAGAACCAAGGAGUAGGAUUAAAUGAAGGCUGAAAAUAUCCACGCCGUAGCAAAGGAAUCAAAGUGAAAUGACGGGUGAAGAAGCGGCAGGUCCCCCUGGCCCCAAAGUCCUCCGUCUCCUCUACUUCGCCGGCGCUGCGUUUAUCUUUAGUAUUGGAAUCAACAAAUGGCGAGAGCUAGAGCGAAAAUCCGUUCAGCAACAACAAGGGAUUCAUCAGCAACCGAAAAUUUUAAGCUCUACCAAUGCUGCAACUAAACCCAUCGAAUAAUUUUUCAGGUUUUUCAUUUUGGAAGAACAAAAUUUGUAGCGAAUAAUGGUCUUUGUGUGGAAUUGUUGAUUUACGAUGAUAAUGUUGUCUAUUCAUUAUAUGAGUUCGUUUCUGUUUUUUUUUUCUUGUUACUAAAUUUGUAUAAUUUGGUCUAAUUUUGUUCUUUGAAUUAUUACUAGUUAUACUAAGCUGGUUUGGGUGAUAGGGAUUUUGGUUCUACAGCGGUUCAACGGCGUAUAUUAAAAAAAAUUGGUUGUGGGUUUU